rnacentral:rRNA from 1 species
UACGAAGGGGGCGAGCGUUGUUCGGAAUUACUGGGCGUAAAGGGCGCGUAGGCGGCUCUAGCAGUCAGGCGUGAAAGCCCCGGGCUUAACCUGGGAAUUGCGUUUGAUACUCUAGUGGCUUGAGUUCGGGAGAGGUGAGUGGAAUUCCCAGUGUAGAGGUGAAAUUCGUAGAUAUUGGGAAGAACACCAGUGGCGAAGGCGGCUCACUGGACCGAUACUGACGCUGAGGCGCGAAAGCGUGGGGAGCAAACAGG